rnacentral:rRNA from 1 species
UGGGGAAUAUUGGACAAUGGGGGAAACCCUGAUCCAGCCAUGCCGCGUGAGUGAAGAAGGCCUUCGGGUUGUAAAGCUCUUUCGGCGGGGACGAUGAUGACGGUACCCGCAUAAGAAGCCCCGGCAAACUUCGUGCCAGCAGCCGCGGUAAUACGAAGGGGGCUAGCGUUGUUCGGAAUUACUGGGCGUAAAGCGCGCGUAGGCGGUGAUCUUUGUCAGAGGUGAAAGCCUGGGGCUCAACUCCAGAAUUGCCUUUGAAACGGGAUCGCUUGAGUCCGAGAGAGGAUGGCGGAAUUCCUAGUGUAGAGGUGAAAUUCGUAGAUAUUAGGAAGAACACCGGUGGCGAAGGCGGCCAUCUGGCUCGGUACUGACGCUCAGGCGCGAAAGCGUGGGGAGCAAACAGGAUUAGAUACCCUGGUAGUCCACGCCGUAAACUAUGAAUGCUAGUUGUUGGGAGGUUUACCUCUCAGUGACGCAGCUAACGCGUUAAGCAUUCCGCCUGGGGAGUACGGUCGCAAGA